GAUGAACGCUGGCGGCGUGCCUAAUACAUGCAAGUCGAACGGGGAGUAGCAAUACUCUUAGUGGCGAACGGGUGAGUAACGCGUUGGUACCUGCCCCGAAGCGGGGGAUAACGGACCGAAAGGUCCGCUAAUACCCCAUGUGCUCGGUAACGAGUAAAGGUGAAAACCACUUUGGGAGGGGCCUGCGUCCCAUCAGCUAGUUGGUAAGGUAACGGCUUACCAAGGCGAUGACGGGUAGGGGACCUGAGAGGGUGGCCCCCCACAAUGGAACUGAAACACGGUCCAUACACCUACGGGUGGCAGCAGUAGGGAAUAUUGGUAAUGGGCGCAAGCCUGAACCAGCAACGCCGCGUGUGCGAUGACGGCCUUCGGGUUGUAAAGCACCUUUGACUGGGACGAGGAAGGACGGUACCGGUCGAAUCAGCCUCGGCUAACUACGUG
rnacentral:rRNA from 1 species